rnacentral:rRNA from 1 species
UACGAAGGGGCUAGCGUUGCUCGGAAUCACUGGGCGUAAAGCGCACGUAGGCGGAUUGCUAAGUCAGGGGUGAAAUCCUGGAGCUCAACUCCAGAACUGCCUUUGAUACUGGCAACCUUGAGUCCGGGAGAGGUGAGUGGAACUGCGAGUGUAGAGGUGAAAUUCGUAGAUAUUCGCAAGAACACCAGUGGCGAAGGCGGCUCACUGGCCCGGUACUGACGCUGAGGUGGCGAAAGCGUGGGGAGCGAACAGGA